CACAAUUGUUUUAUCUGUACUUUUUUGGGUAAAAUGUUAAAUUAUUAUACCAAAGUUUUCAAUUUUUUACAGAAAUAAAAAUCAAAGAUUUUAACUGUUUCACAAUUGUUUUAUCUGUACUUUUUUUGGUAAAAUGUUAAAUUAUUAUACCAAAGUUUUCAAUUUUUUAGAGAAAUAAAAAGCAAACUAGUAGCAGAAAUACGAGAAUAAACUAAACAGAAGGGAUCUAAGCAACGAAAUAACAAAAUGAAGCAAAGGAGAAGCUGACUUAGAACGAUACUUUAACUUUAGCGCGAAGGAUCAAGAAGCGAGUCGAUAACAGAGAGAGCUUCCAGUCGCCGCGAGCUAACAGAGAGAAAGGCACCCCAAACCUUGAAACACACGGCUCCUACAUCUUCUGGAGAACUCAAACGCCACCAACUGCCCAAAGAAUCACAAACCGAACUCGCUAGCUAAUCCAAGAGACAACUAUCCGGCAGCACGAAGAGGAUCUUGUAACCGACGAUGUCGUCGUUCGAAGAAGGGUGCUGAAGAUUGCUGCCUCCAACUCACCAACCCGUGACCGUGUACACCCGUUGAACCCAAGACUCAUAUAGAGCAGUGGGACUGGCCCGAAACACCUCUUCCUGAGAGACACCACCAAGCACACUAGAAAGCCGGAGUCAAAUUAAAGCCUAUCCAUUGCCUUCUAACCCAAACAACUCCACAAGCUAACCCGAGACCGAGAACCCGAGAGGGUAGAGAGCCGACGACCGCCAUCGCCAAGCCCCCACAACUUUAUUAGGUGAGGUGAGAGAAACCCGAGGCCACACCACCGGACCUGCACACAAACGAAGACAAGAACAACCGCAACAACCCAGAUCCGAAGGUCGGACAGAGCAAACAAAAGUUCUGACUAACACGCGGCCACCAGAGACACCGGAGAACAAGCUUACCGGCCAUAGCUCCGGACUAGCUCUCACGCGCCGUUACCAAAAGGACACCCAAUAACUCGAGAGUGAACAGAAACAAGAAUCCCGCCACAAAGCUCCUAGUCAAAGCCUACCACGAACCAAUCCCGGACGAAAUCCGAGAGAACCGACGUCACACGCGCCACUACUCACCCGAGAGCACACACCAAGCAACACAAAAUCACCGGAACUCCAAGGACGAAACCAAAGGUCUAAGCCAUAGGAAAGACAGACGCUGUCCUCACUCGCAUGGACUCGCCGCCGGAGACCCUAGAUCUGAAACCCAGAUUCCGGAUCUGAGCAAAGGUGGAGCUCCCCCUGCCGCAAAGAGAAGAGAAUACGAAGGAAACAAGGACAUAUGAAACACACGAGAGGAAAGAGGGGGAGAAAAGAGGAGAUCCAGCGACCGCGAACGGCAGAGCGGCCACCGGAAAAGCAAGAGAGCUUUGUUACGUGAAGGUUGGAGAAGAGAGAGGGAGGAGAGAGGGGGAGAGAGGGGAAUAGUAGUGUGAGAAAAAUGUUUUCUUCUUGUAUUUUUAUCUCAACUUUACUCUCUUUAUAUGGAAAUUCCUAAAUUAAGAUCAACCUAAGUUUAUAAUAACUUAGAAAAAGUAUAACAAGGAAAGAUAUGGCCAAUUUCAAAAAGAUGAAAAUGAAAGCUAAGAAAGAUACGUAAAUAUAUGUUUUGAUGGGGAGAAAAACUAGGAUAUCCCACUUCCAUUUGUCCAUAUUUAGAUAACAAUUUUUAUUUAUGGAUAAACAUUGACCGCGUUCGUUAAAGACCACACCUAGGCCUGGGCAUUUCGGGUAUCGGUUCGGUUCGGUUCGGGUAUUUCGGGUUUCGGAUAGUUCGGAUAGGGGCUAGAGGAUCCAUUUAGUACUCGACCUAUUUUCGGUUCGGUUCGGUUCGGAUAGUUUCGGGUUCGGUUCGG
rnacentral:lncRNA from 1 species